CUCUCCCUCCCCGGCCUAGCCCCCGAGCCUCUAACCCGCCGGAAGAGGAGAAAACCCGCCGGAAACGCCGGGAAGCAUUUCGCCGGAACUUCCUCCUCCGGCCACCAAUCUGGGCAAGCUUGGUACGGUUUUGUAGCCCUCCUCCCGUGCAACAACCCCUCCAAACAGCUCCCUCCCUCUUGAGCUAGGUAAGGAGAAAUUUGAGGUGGAAGUUUUAUGGUGUUUUUGAUGUUUUUAGUCGAUUGCCCUAGUUAGGCUUGGAAUUGGUGUUUGUGCUAGUUAUGAAAGUUGUAGAGCUUGAUGAGAGGAAGAUGCUGUUAAAAUUUCAUAGGUUUUGGAGGUCGCCGGAAUUGACCUCCGGCCGCCGCUGUUUUGGGAAAUUUUAUGGUUUUUGAUGUAGAAUAUUAAGGGGAUAUUAUUGAAGUGAAUUAUGGAAUUUUUGGAUGAGUUUUGGAUAGGUUUAUGAAUUUCCGAAGUGUGGUAUUUUUGGCGGGUAAUUAAUGUAGAAUCCGGCCGUUGGAUUUAAGUCGUAUUUUGGAGAGGUUGUAUUUACGACUGUGGAGUAUGAUAUUUAAGUUCGGAUCGUCCGAUGUAAGAAUAUCGAAGUUAGGCAAUAAUGAGCGUAAUUAUGGCUCUCGGGUAAUUUUGCCUAUUUUGAUUAAAUAUUGGAUAUUGGUUGGGAAAUUAAUAUUAUAUUUGGAACAGGACGUGAAGAGGCUCGAGCAGACGAGACCCCAGAUUGACAUCAGGCUUAGGCCUAAUUCGUGAGUGGACUUUUAUUUGAAAUAAUAUGCAUGCUAUGGUUCAUGAUUGAACUAUUUUCCUUUUGUUGGUAGUUUUACCGUCUAAUUUAAUUUUGACGUCUUUUAUUUCUCUGAGAGAGAGUUACCGAAAAUGGGAUUUUCGGUGAAUAUAAAUAUGUAUAUAUGAGAGAGUAUGUAUAGAAAAUGCUAGCUAGCCAUAUGUGUCUGUCCACCUUAAUGGCGUAACAUAUAGCCGCAUUAUGAUGUGAGUGAGCGUUGGACGUAAGCGUAGUAGCCCUAUAUGAGUGUUUAAUUCAUAUAGG
rnacentral:lncRNA from 1 species